CUGUAUCUUCCUAUCGAGUUUGCAAUCUAAAGAUUUGCGCGAAUUUAUUAACACUUUAUAAGACUAUAGGUGCAAUACUGAAGGACUGAAAAUUCUUUGCGUCUUUCAUUUCAACUCAUUGCUAUUGUUACAUCAAUAUGAGAUUCAAAACGUGUACCUGGAUGCUGAAAUGCAAAGAGGAAAAUAGAAGCAACAAGUCAGCAACAAACUCAAGGGACAAUAGUGAUCACAAGUGAAAGCGACGAGCAGCAGCAGUAGCAAUAAAUAACAGCAGAACAAUUGGAGUAGAAUCAAAAUCCCAACUAGACCAAAUCUAAGAACAAACCAAUGAAACACACAACCAGUAAACUCAGUUGGGAACUUGGGAAGAUCAGUAUUGAUUAAAACAGGUCGAACAGGUGAAAUCAAGACCAGCAAAGGGAAGAACAGUUUCUGAUUUGUCUCUGUGUUUUCUAUUUCUCCCCCCUUAUCUGUCUGUGUGUGCUCUCUUUGUAUAUGUGUAUUACUGUAUUUCUGUUUUUGUGGUAUCCCUCUUUUUUCAAAAUCCGUCCCCUAACUAAUGGAAGUUCUGCCUCUGUUUAUAGCCUAGCAUCAGCCCUUUACAAUCUGUUAAACACAUCAGACCCCCCCUUUUCUGCUGUCUUUCCACUCAUCUUUUAAAAGUAGAACCCUCCCAUGAUAUUCCCUGACAGCGUUUUACUUAGAUAUGGUUUAAUAUUUCUUAAACAACUCAGGGUGUGGGCAGCCUGAAUAUGCCCUGACAGCACAUGCUGUCAAAUUAUUUUUAAUCUCUAAAAGGGCCUUAAUGCACAUGUUGUGCACAAGUGCACAUGCCACCAAUUCAGACUGCAGCUAAACAAACCAAAUCCUUAAAUUUCUGAUUCAAAUCAACAACUAUAAGUAGCUAUACUCGAUUCUCAAUUUGAUUCAAACAAAGUUCAGCAAGAAACAGAUCAAAUUGUUAUCGUUCAAACAGCUGAAACCAAUCGACGACAUGUAUCGAAUCGACCAUACUAGUUAUAACAUAUACAACCAAUAGCCAAUGAUCAGAAAUCUAACAGUAUCAACAUGCGAUUCAAAUUGUACUGACAAAGCAAAAGUUGUACUGGGGAAUUAAUUAAUCAAUCAAAUUUAAGUUCAAUUGAUUGUACAGCUUACACACAUACACAUGAUCAGUAAAUGGAAAGAAAUUGGCCAAAUACAGAGGUCCGGGCAAGGUGGACAACAACAGUCGACAAAAAUUCAAUAACAUAAAUUAAACAAAACAUUUGGACAUAUGAACAGACAUUCAAUUACAACAGACAAAAUAAACUGAUAAAGAAAACAAAAAUUACAUUAAAGCCUUGAAAAAUCAGAAAACCCCAGCUCGGAUUUGAAAUCGACCUUUCUUGGGGUUGAAUGGACUUUAAUCGAAGUGUUCUCCAACGAGAACACUUCGAUUAAGGUCCAUUAGACCCUAAUCAUCUGGUUCAACGGACACAGAUCGGACAUGAGGACUCCUAGGGUUCCUAGAGGGUAGAUUUGGGAUUUGGGUUUCUCUGGUUAGAUUCGGACCAAACCAAGCAUGGUUUGGUCACGGGGGAGGUCAGGGGAGUGUCUGGUAUGAACCUGGGGUAGAUCGGUGUAGAUCGAAUUUUGCUCGAAUCUUCAAAUGAAGAUUCGAGAACCUAGGGUUUGAUUCGAGACAAAAGGACAAUAGAUCUAUGUUCAGGGCGGUGAGGCGGUCCUAGGGUGUUAAGGUGGGGGUCACCGGCGUCCUUGCCGCCGGGUUUAAUGGUGAAGGGAAAGGGGGCGGCUCUAGGGUUCCGAGGUUUUUGGGUUUGUGAAGGGGAUGACUAAGGCAGGGGGGUUUGGCUUAGGCGCGGGGUGAAGGGGGAAGGUUUAUAUACGGGGUAAGUGAUCUGAUAUUAGCCGUUGGAUAGCCACUGAUCAACGGCUGUGAUCUUUCCACUAAAAGAAACGGUGUCGUUUGUUCUCAUGCUGGGAUGGAUCAGACCGGGUUUCAUUGGGUCGGGUCCGGUAACGGGUAAAGGAGAUGGGACGAGGGCUGUUAGAUCGGCCUGGUUUGAACGGCUGAGAUUAGACGGCCUUAUACGGCGUCGUUUGGGUAAAGGAUUGGCUUGAUCUGGGCCGUUCCUUUUAAUCAAUCAACGGCUCAAAGAGAUGAUGCCUAUACGGCGUCGUUUGGGGCGUCUUGCAGAAGGCCUGGUUGGAUUGGGUCGUUUUGGUUUGGGCUUGUUCCUAUUUAAAUUGGAUUGGCCCAAUCCGAAAACCCUCUUCUUCUUAAAUCUCUUAAUUAAUUUGUCAAAAAUAAUACUAUAAAAACAAAAAUUAACACAUAAUUAACAUUUAAUUAAAAUAACAUCACUUAAUGACAAAAAUGAAAGAUGCAUUUUUUGCGAUUUUUCCUUUUAAUAACCGGAUUACGGUUCAACUACACACGACACAUUUUUUUGUAUUUUGUUUUCAAUAAAAAAUAAAAAUGGGCAAAAAUCACAAAUAAUUAACAAAGUGCCACAUAAAAAUCCAAAAUUGUACAGCAAGACCAUUUGCUUAUUAUUUUAUUUCUUUUGGAGUGAUUGUCGCGUAAACAAAAAUCACGUGCUCACACCAAGCAUAUAAAAUAAACCAACCUGAAGGCAAUACAUCUUAGUUAACCCUGUUGAGCCUAUAAGCCUAUUUCUUUGGCAACCACAUUGCAAACCUUACCCAAUUGUUUGAAUAGCCUCCUGUUUGAACCCUUUUACCUCCCAAUAAGCACUUGAAUAGUAGUGAAAAUAUGCAAAAGCUAAAGUGUGGGGUGUGGUUUGGGUUUUGAGUGGAACCAUUGAGAUAGAGAAAAGGUGUGGAAAUAUGAAGCAUAAAAGAAAAAGCACCACGAAAAUAUAUAUGGGUUAUAAAUAAUUAUAAUGGUUGAUAAGUGGUGGCUUGUACAAAUUGCACCUAAUGGAUGGGGAUGUUUUAAACAAAUGAGGUGGAGUGUUUGGUUGGCACAACUAUGAUCUUUAAGUUUAAUGUAACUGUAUUAAAAGUGCUUAGGGAGGUUAGUCACUAUAUCUAAAUAUAUCCUACUCGUCCCUUAGCCUACAUUACAACCAAGUAAAGUCCUAUUGAUCUUAGACUGAUUGAGCUCAAUUAGUAGAGUAUUACACUACGGGCAAGCCUAUGGUGCAUCUUUGUGGCAUGUGAAUGUUCUUUCUGAGAGUGAGCGAAUUUUGUCUAUCUUAGUUCCCACUUGUUCUAAUUAUCAUUAUAUGUGGAACUACUCUCUGGUGUGAUGUGAGGGCAUAUGAUUCACAAAGGAAAGGUAAGUCUUGACUCUUGUAUAAGGCGAUUUGAGUAAGUGCUAAUGUUGCAUGGCAGAGAAGGUUUGACUCUUGUGGUAAAGGAUGUUCACUACUAGGUGCAACUUUUGUAAAAAUGUUCAUGGUGUGAAUCGUUACGGGAAGCUUAGGGAAUGAUUUUUUGAUGGAGUGUGGUGGAUUGUUCGAGGACUAGCAAUAAUUUAAAUGUGGGGUGUUGAUAGUAGGCUAUAUAGUUGACAUUUACACCUUAAGAUGACCAUACUUUGUUGUUGUUUUAUAGAUAAAUUGCCAACAAAAUGCUCUAAAUAGUGUUCUUUUGUGCCACAGGGAAUAUUAUAUGAGAGAAAGCAACAUGGAGUGUUUUGGAGGCGAUAAUGUGAAGAAAACACCCACUCGAGAAGUACCCGAGCAUAAAGAAGCAAAUAAAUAGCCUGGGCAAGAAGGCCACCGUGACCGCAGUGGACCGUGGCAGGUUAAUGAAGUGAGGCAGAAAGGUCAUCUUUCACUGCGGUCGACCUCGGUGCACUAUUCACGCAGCUGGAAGUUUGAGGACCAAAGUGUAAUUUCGGGGAAACUUUUCUAAAACCCUUAUAAGCUUUAGAAACUCACCCAACUUGAUUCUAAGCUAAUUUUAGACUACUUUUGGAGGCAAGAACAAGAGUGAGAAGAUCAACUAAACAUUAAAGUUUUUCUAUCUCCUUUUAAUUCUUGCAAUUUACAUUAUGCACAAUUUAGUAGUUUUCUCUUAUUUUGUUAUGAGUAGCUAAACACUUAUCUAGGGUUGAUGGAACCAAUUGUUGGUUGAAGUUUUGACUCAAGUUGUUAUAAUCGAGCCGGUUUUAUGAUAUGAUUGUUCAACUACGUUUUGUAUGGUGAUUAAUUGAAUGAGCCCUUGAUUAAUCGUGACUAAUUACCUUAUAUUGCUUGAGAAAGAAUAUUAUAUUAGAUAGCUGUUGAACAACACCACUUUUGGGUAAUUGAAGAGAUUCAUUACUUGAACUUAAAAGUGGGUUUAGAGAUAACAAAACUUUGGUGGGAUAAUUUAGAGUUGCAUAACUAUUGUCAGCUAGAGUAGUUCGAGAGAAUGCUCUAGUAAAUUAUUGUAGUUGAUCGAGAGAUAAUUACGAUAACCCAUAACUCUUAAUACUCAUAGAGUAUUACAGCAAGAUUAUAGCGGAAGAGUCAAGACCUAAACUAGCAAUUGGGGAAAUCACUGCUCUAGACCUUUUUACCAUUGAAUUAUCUUUGUUUUAGCUUACUGUUGUUUUUAAUAGUAGUUGAAGUAGUUAAACAAAAAUCCAAUCUUUAUUGAUCAAAAAUCUUGCAUCUAGAGAUUGAUUGAGUUGAUAAUAACAUUGCCGAAGAGUGUAAUAGAUAGGUCUUUUCCCUGAUAAUUCGAUUUCGAACUUAAAACCGGAUUAUAUUUGCAGCUACCGCUUUGUCCUUUAAAAGGCAUAGUUGGGCGUUAUCAUGGGUCUUCAGAGUAUUCAGCCGUAUGCCCCACACAGGGUCCUAUGACAGCUUGGCAGGUACCAAACUGUCCCUUAUGAUGAAGAUUUGAGUCGACAAGUCAUUGAACUAGGUCCAAAAACUGCAUUCCCGGAAGAAAAGGUUCGCCAGAUUUGGCAUCAGUAUAGGUUUCUGGAGCCACAGACUCGAGUUUGGGAUUUUUCCAAAGGUGAGGUAGAGCCGAGCUACACAGCCUGGUAUGGUAAAAGGGUUCAAGUCCAUCAAGAGCCUGAACGGCCCGCCAAAAGGCCCCAUGUACAACAGUUCACUGAUAUGGCACAAGAGCAAUGAAAUUGGUUAGCAAAGGAGAAAAGCUAUAGGGCUACGAUAAGCAAGUUAGAAGGGCAGAUUAGAGAAAAUUAAAUUCAAUAGUGGAUUGCAAGCCGCGGCAAAUGAAGUUGAAAAGAAGAGGUUGGCCCAAGAAAAUGAAGCCUCCAAGCCUAGAUCCAGAAGAUGAAAAUAACAGCUGAGAACCCGGUCAGAAGCAGAAAAGAUAAAAAGCUCAUCCACAGCCUUAGAAGGAAAGUGUGUGAUUAUGGGGCUGAUUUGGAAAAGACUGAGGGUGAACUAGCAAAGGCCCGAGAAAAGUUGUCCAGGAAUGCGGAAGAACGGGCAAGUUUCGUUCAACAACUGAAGGAAAAGUACAACAAAGGAAUCACGGGUCUGAAGGAAAAGCUCAAUACCCUUGAGAACGAAAUGGCCAAGCAAACAAAGAACUUUAAAGCAGAAAGAGAGCAUUGCUAUGCACUAAUGUCACAACUAGAAGAAAACCUACAACAAUUGCAAGAGCAAAAUCAUACGUCCACACAAGUUUUGGAGGCCCGAUCUAAACAAAUUGGACGCCUGCUCCAAGAGAAGGGCGUCAUCAGGGAGAGGAUUAGAAGAAUUGCUGACUAUAUUGUGAUGAAGUGCAAUGAAUGUGAGGAUAUGACCAGGUCUAUGUUCUUCACUGCAGUGAUAAUUUUUGUCUGUUAGAUAAUGAACAACCUAUAUUGCCUCCAAGAAGAUAUGGGACGUAGGCCCGCGGCGAGACCGACUGAUGUCCCACGGGCCCCUGGGGUAGUAUUGGAGGCACUUAUGUAUUCCUGAUUUUAUUUUUGAGUCUGUAUUUCAGUUUCUUUUAGAGUCUAUUAGUCCACUUUGAGUCUUGUUUUGGUUUUUCAGUGUUUAAGUCUGUGUGAUGGAGUAGUUGUAAUAGAGGAAAAUCAGAAUGUUUUUAUUUAAUGAAAAUUUGAAAACCCAAAAAUAUUUCUUUCUUUUAUUAUUUCGCAUUUAUCACCUGAACUACGUAAUGAUCUGAUUCAUGCAGCAUCAUGAUACGUAGGCAAUCCCCAUAGAAUUCGAUUGUAACCAUAAAAUGAAAAAGAAAAAAGAAAAAUUGAGUGGAAAGAAAGAAUGGCAAAACGAGAGAACAAAAGCGAAUGCAAAAAAUAAAAAGGGGAGCGACAAGAACCAAGCGGGAAAAUCAAUAGUGACUAAAAAGGGUAGGAGCCAAAAAGAAAAGAAAAAGAGAGAGGAGAAAGUGCAAAGUGAAAAGAGUUAGUUAAGGCCGGUAUGAAACAUGCAACGGUUCAAAUACAUAAUAGAAACUUUUAAUUAUUCAGGUGCAUUGCAUCCCAAACGUGCGGUUGCCUAUCUGUUAAACCUUCAACACUAACAAGUUUUCUAUUAUCGUUGAGUACAAGAAGGUGUUUAGUUUGUUUGGCAUUCUGGAAAGCCACCCAUAUAAUACCAGUUCUAAACACAAGGUGAUCAUGGCUGGCAAAGAAUUGGACGCGAGUGUUAUUGACCCGCCGAGAGAGGUGGAGGAAUCUGAGCCUGGUUUGAAAGAAGAGUUACAUAAGUUGAAGCACCAAAUGGUCGAAAUGUACCAAGCAUGGAUGAAAGGGCAUCCUCCACCGUCAUACCCCGCCAACCCUGCUUUCAUCCCACCACUAGCUCAAUCUCAAGAGCCCCUCAUUGUUGAUCUAUCCCCACAAUACGCACCAAGCUUCACCCCUUACCACCACUAUCAUGACACCACUUCCCAAACCAUCCAAGCUCCACCAGCCAAAACAACCACAUACCCUGCUCCGUCGGCUACCCCUAUCUUCGUAGCACCUCUGCCCUCUACACUCCAUCGAUCUUCCAGUGAGCUGGUAUUGCCCAAGAUAACCAGUACUAUGCCCCCGAGCCCACCUUUAAAGUACCAGAUCACUACUCCUACACUCCCCACUUUGAACUUCCUGUCGAAACUGAGAAGCCACCCAAAAACACGAAGCAAGAGGAGAUAUUUAGGAAGGUAAAGAUCUUGGAGAAGUUGCUAAGAAAUAUGCUAGGAUUAGGAGGCCAAGUGAGUGCGGCUUAUAAGGAUCUGUGCUUGUUUCCUGAUGUCCAACUACUGGUCGGAUUAAAAAUGCCCAAGUUUGACUUGUAUGACAGGCAUGGAGACCCCGUGGCCCACUUGAGAGGAUUUUGCAGCAAAAUGAGGGGAGACGAUGGGAAAGAUAAACUGUUGAUGGCAUAUAUUAUCCAAAGUCUGAGUGGUGCAGCAUUAGAGUGGUACACCCGCCAGGACAAUAGCAAGUGGUACACUUGGGAUGAUAUGGCCCAAGCUUUCGCUCGACAUUUCCAGUACAACAUAGAGAUUGUCCCAGAUCGCCUGUCCUUGACUAAGAUAGAGAAAAAGUACAGUGAGAGUUUCAGGGAGUACGUUUUUUGGUGGAUAGAAUAGGCGGCACGAGUCAACCCUCCAAUGGAGGAAGAUGAAAUGGUGGAGUAUUUUCUUCAAGAUUUGGAGUCUAUUUACUUCGGUCAUCUGAUCUUGGCCAUAGGUAAGUCUUUCAAUGAAGUGGUGAAGAUGGAAGGAAUGGUAGAGGAAGGACUCAAAUCGAGCAAGAUCAUGAGUUACUUUGCCAUCAAAGCAACUACACAAGCAAUCCAGAAUGGCACCGGGGGCGUGUUAGGGAAAAAGAAGAAAGAAGAUGUUGUUAUGGUCGUCUCAGGAUCGUGGCAUGGCCCAAGGGGCUCCCCUCACCAUUACACCCAGCCUCGACCCCAGCCUCAAACCUACACCUAAACUCCAUAUAAUCCACCCCAACACUACUUCCCACUACCAAACCUCAGUAUUCAGUCAGGCCACCCCAAUACCAUGUCCACCACGUACAGUCAUAUGCUUAACCCCCCUCCUUACCCGCAAUGGCAUUCCCCAUCUUCACAAAACCCUUACCCACCUCUACAAACAUACCAAAACCCUACUGGUCCUAGUUUUCGACCCAGGCCGGAGUAUAAAAGGGAAACGUAGCAGCGGAAACAAACUUUCACCCUACUUGGAGAGUCUUACGCCAGUCUGUUUCAGAGGUUGAGGCAAUAGGACGUUCUAAGGCCGAUUGAGUCAAAAUUACCAAAUCCCCCUCCGAAAAACCUGGACUAUUCCCUCAUAUGUGCAUAUUAUUCUAAUACUUCGGGGCACGACACAGAAAAGUGUUGGCAUUUGAAGAGUGCCAUCCAGGAGCUUAUUGAUACAAACCUAAUUGUGGUCCAAAGCCCGAAAGCGCCAAAUAUCAAUCAAAAUCUAUUGCCAGCCCAUGUCGAAAUGCACAUGAUUGAGAUAGUGCAUAAGGAUGGGGAGCCCAAGAAGCCUUCAAAGUCUGUUAUGAUGAUCCGUGCCGGUGAAAGUAAGACAGUCAAAGCUCCAAUUGUUACAAAGGAAACAUCUUCCAUAGCUGAAGGGCUGACAGACAAGCUAAGCACACCCAAUAAUAAGUCAUCUGUGAUAGUCACGAAGAGGUUCCCAGAUGAUGUUGAAACAAAGCAAGAAAAACCGAAAGUGGUCGUGCCGGGGGUAGCAAGUAAGCAUGUCAUUAUCGUAGAAGGGGCUCGCAUUGCCCCUGUUAUUAUUAAACCUGUGACCGAACUGCCGAUAGACAACACCAAGGUUGUUCCAUGGAAUUACAAGCGAGUGAUAGUAACUUAUAAAGGGAAAUAAGUGGAAGAGGAAGUUAAUGAAACUCGGGGUUUGACUCGUUCGGGGAGAUGCUUUGCCCCAGAGGAAUUAAGAAAAGCUAAGCCACUCAAAGAUAGUCCAAUUCUAGUGAAAAAUCCAGUCACCAAAGAGGUGGCGAAAAAAUAUUUGAGAAAAAUGAAGGUGUAGGAUUACUCCAUAGUGGAACAAUUGAGAAAAACCCUCGCUCAGAUUUCUCUUCUAUCAUUGUUGAUAUAUUUAGACGAGCACCACCGGGCCCUCAUGAAGAUUCUGAAUGAAGCUCAUGUCCCUGAUAAGAUCAUAGUGAACCAUUUGGAUAAGAUUGCCAACAAGAUAUUCGAGGCGAACAGGAACACCUUCUCGGACGAUGAGUUGCCUUUGGAGGGUACGGAACAUAAUCAGUCUCUCUAUCUCACAGUGAAAUGCGAAGAUUCUGUGGUCAUGAGGGUGCUAGUUGACAAUGGUUCCAGUGCAAACAUUUUCCCUCUCUCCACUCUGCACAAGUUGAAAAUUGAUACUGAGAGGAUCCACAAGAACAAUAUAUGUGUCCGAGGUUUUGAUGGAGGGGGAAAAGAUUAUGUUGGCGAUAUCGUGCUCGAACUGACAAUAAGACUAGUUGAAUUUACCAUGGAGUUCCAGGUACUAGAUGUGGCAGUCUCUUACAAUUUGCUAUUGGGUAGGCCUUGGAUACAUGUUGCCAAAACAUUCCCGUCUUCUUUGCACCAGAUGGUAAAGUUCAAGUGUGAUAGACAGGAAAUCAUGGUGCAUGGUGAUGGGAACUUGUGUGCUUACAAUGAUACAUCUGUCUUAUUUAUUGAGGCCGAAGACGAUAAGGGGUUUUGGGUUUACCAAGUUUUCGAAGUCGGGUCAGUUGAGAAGGUUACGGAAGGGGAAUGUAUUCCAGGUCCAAAGCUAGCCUCUGCAACCGUCAUGGUAGCAAAUGACGUGUUGAAGAAUGGUUUUGUGCCAGGCAGGGAUCUGGGUGCAUCUUUGCAAGGUAUCAUGUAGCCAGUGUUUUUACAUGAAAAUCUGGGUAUGUUUGGUCUGGGGUUCAAGCCCACGGGGGAUGAUGUGAAGAAGACUAAAAAGUUGAAAAAGAAGGCAUGGUCUCUCCCUAAGCCUAUCCGCAGCAGCUCUGAUUUACUAGGUAAUUUAUGUGUUUAACUGAGUUUUGCUUGGUUUUGCAAUUGUUGAUCAUUCAGAAGAAAUCAACAGGGGUGAGUUUGUCUUUUAAAUGUGAUAGGUUCACUGUUAAGUAAAAUAGAAUAUUGAAUUAUUUAAAACCAAUUUUGAAGGGUUGAAGCCAUAUAGCAUGUCAUUUUGGUAAUCGUAAAGGUAUUUAUGGGCUAAAGAGUGUUCAAGAUUGUCAGUUUCCAUGCUACAUCUAAGUAUGUGCAGUAAACGUUUUGGCCUUUAAGAGUCAGGAGCUUCAAAAUUUGUUCACAUGCCAAUUAAGCCACCAUUGCCAUUGUGUUAUUUUGUUGGACAAUGUAUAGUGGAGAUGGAACAUGUGAUUAAUUGAGGUGAUAGGAAAUCUACCAAUGGUGAUGAUUUGAUUCACGUUCUUGCUCCUUUAUUAACUACUACAGGUUUUCCCUUAUGAUCCUUGGAUUUUGUUAUCCUUUGUAGCGAAAAACAUGUCGUCUUUUCAAUCUCAGCACAUAAAAAGAUGACACACAUGCUUCAAAAAAUAAAGGAAGUUGUGCUAUUUUUGAAGAGAUAGUUAACCUUCAUAAGAUAUCGUGUUCUUUCCAAAGCAUGCUCUUUUAUGUUUAAAUCUGAAAUUAAUCAAGGCUGAAGCACUCUAGUCCAUUGUUCUACAAUGUAGUUAAUUGCUUAUUCAUUUUCUCUGGAUGAUUUAAAGUGCUUGUUGAUCAUUGAUUUCUCAUCUGUGUACCCUGUUGCGUGAUUCUUUACGUGGGUAUUUCAAAUGAAUUAUUAAAAAUGACUUUGGGUCGUGGGAGUUGGGGUGGUCAGCCUAUUAGAUUGCUAAAUUUUUUUCACGUGCUUUAGGAUUGGGCUUGGUCAAAUGCUUGAAAUAAGAAGUUAAAAGGUUAUGAGCAUGAAAUCUCUUUUAGCGAAAAGUGCUCCAUAAUCGCAGGCCUUUCACACAUAAUCUCAAAGUAGCUCAGAAAAUAAUUCAUAAACCUCGUUGCUUGCUUUAGGCGCGAUUAAUAAUAAAUCACCAUAGCUACGGGUACGAUUCCCGUGACGUAGUUGUGAUACAUAAUUUCCAAAUCCGGGUGUGCAUUUCAUGUGACCCCACUUCAAUUUCCAUAAUAUUAAAUAAAAUAAACAUGUCGUGAACCGCGGGUGCAUUUCAUGUAGUGUGGUUUACGAUGUGUUUUCGAAAACAAACAAGUGUAUGACGAUCAUGAAUUUUCCUAAAAACAUUAAAAACGGUUAGAAAGUUAAAAAUGCACGUAGAUUUAAUAUGUGUAAUUAAUCAGAUAAUUAAGCCAAUAUUAAUAGUUAAGCGACCGUGCUAAAACCAUGGAAUCCGGAAAUGCCUAAUACUUUCUCCCGAGUUAACAGAAUUUCUUACCUAGAUUUCUGUGUUCGUAGACCAUAAAUAAGAGUCAACUUCCUCGAUUCGGGAUUUUAAACCGGUGACUUGGGACAUCAGAAAUUAUCCCAAGUGGCGACUCUGAAUUUGAAUAAAUAACCCUUUUAGAUUAUUAUCACUUUAAUUGGAAAAACUCCCCUAUACCCUUUCGAGUGGAAAAAGGAGGUGUGACAGAUGUUAGUUUCACAUUGGCUUCCAAAGGAGUCCAAGCUAGUUUGGCACCACCAAAUCCCAAUUUUGAUAUAAUUUCUAUUGCAUAUUUUCUCUGAUUGAUUAAUAUGUCUCUGUUGGACUCCAUUCCAAGGAAGAAUUUCAAUUUCCCUAAGCCUUUAAUUUUGAAUGCUUGAUGUAAGGUUGCUUUAGUAAAAUCAAUGAGUUGCAAAUUAUUUCCUAUUACCAACAUGUCAUCCACAUAUAUAAGUAUCACUACAAUGUCAGUGCCAUAUUGUUGAUGAAUAAUGAAUGGUCUAGGUUGCUUUGUUGAAAGUGAGACUGCAACAAAGCUUCUUUCAGCUUUAAGUUCCAUUACCUGCUUGCCUGCUUGAGACCAUAAAAUAAUUUUACAUGUCUGCAUACCACACCAAACCCCCUGGCUUGUAAAAUCCUGAGACAACUCCAUGUAGACCUGAUCAUGCAAAUCUCUUUUGAUAAAUGCAUUAUGAAUCCAAUUGAUAUUAUGGACUACCCAACUAUGUACUGCAGCAAGAGAAAAAAUAGUUAUGACUGUAGAAAUCUUAACCACUGGAGAGAAAGUCUUUCUCUCAUGGUAAUCAAGACCUCUUUGGUUAUAACCCAUAGCAACAAGUCAGUGCCUCAAACCUUUCUACUUCACCAUCAGCUUUAACUUUACCUUGUAUACCUUGUCAUAUUUCCUUUUUUACUAUCCCGGAAGGGAGUAUAAGGGAGUUUUUUCCAAUUUAAGUGACAAUCAAAACGAGAUUAUUUAUUUAAAAUUCAAAGUCGCCACUUGUGAUAAUUUAUAGUGUCCCAAGUCACCGGUUUAAAUCCCGAAUCGAGGAAAGAUUGACUCUGUUUUACAGUCCGCGAAUACAGAAAUCCGGAUAAGAAAUUCUGUUAACCCGGGAGAAGGUGUUAGGCACUCUCGAGUUCUGUGAUUUCAGCAAGGUCGCUUAACUAUUAUUAUUGGCCUAUUAUCUGAUUUUAACACAUGUUUAGAACCUAUUGUGCCCUUUUUAACCUUUUAGCCACUUUUAUUUAUUUAAAGAAUUAAUUCAAGGUUAUCUAAAACAUAUCACAAGCCACGCUACAUGAAAUGCACCCGUGAUUCACGACACGUUCUAUUUAACCUUAUUGGAAAUUAGGACCGGGUCAUAUGAAAUGCACACCCGAAUUGAGAAUUAGAUAUCGUAACUAUGUCACAGGAACCGUACCCAUGGCCACGAUGAUUUAUUAAUCGCGUCUAAAGCAAACUAGGUGUUCAUAAGUUGUAUCUACUGCUCUAAAUCCACAUGACAAUAUUACCUCAAGUACUUUACCUCACUUUUAUUGCAUUAAUUGAACUUUCAUAUGAUUGUAUCAAGUAUGAAUUUUUACUUCAAUUAUGCAAUCUAGAAAUAUGAAAAUGUGAACCCUAAGAUGCCACAUAUCCGAAUAUGGAAAUUCCUUGUUCAAGCCAAUACACAUGCCAAAGGUCGUUGAAACCAUGCUAACAACAAAAUGCAGAUGGACAUAUAAUGGCUGAAAAUUUAAUAUUGGAGAAUCCAGCCAAAAAAAAAACAAUGAAUCAACAAAACCAAUGCGUAAAAUGAUCAAAUCAAAAAGAACAGCGAUCUUAAGGGUGCAUAUAGAAAGAUAUACAAAUAAUAGAUACUUAAAUCAACUGACACGUCAACAAAUUGUCCAAACUAGCAAUUACCAUUUUUGCUUUUCCAAAGUUUAUACUAAGCAUAAUAUAAACACAGACACAUUUUGAUCUCAACUCCAAAUAACACGGUUACAGCUACAGCGCUCAAAUGAAAACGAGUGAAGAAAUAUUAAUAAUAUUAGCAAUAUGGCACAAAAAAACACUAAAGAUUCAUGAUACAAUUUAUAUUAAAACAGAGAUUACACCGGAUCUAGGAAGAAAACGUACCUUAACUGCAAAUAAGGACCAAAACAAGUUCUGAAGUUAGAAAUUAGGCCAACUGAUUCAGAUAUUAACUUCCAAAUUCAAGGGAAAAAACAGCAGUAAAGUCGAUCAAGAAUCGCAAGCAAAAUCAAAACCUCGAACCGAAAACCUCGUCAAAUUCGGAACAAAAUACCUUCAACCAAGCUUAAUAUUGAAUUCGAAACUCGCACACUUGGACUGCUUUGAAACUCCUAGCAACAAGAUUAGCAAAACCUCUAAUCGACAACAUUGGUAGCCCAAAAUAUUCUCAGUAAUGAAGAAAAAAUCAAAAGGUACAGCAACUUCGACUCCAAAAUUCGACUGAAAUAGUCUUUCAAUUGAUGAGUACUCCCAACAAUUACAAGGAUUUCAGCUCUGAAAUACAAUUGAAUGAACAAUAGGAAACUUGUUCCCCAAAAAAACGAAACGCCAAACAACAACAACACUCGAACAGUGCCGCAAACAUCAAACUCAACUCGAACCUAACUGUACUCCAUAUUUGGGACCGAAGAUCGGAAUCUAAGAAAGAGGCAGAUGUGUAUUUCGGGGGCUGGGUUGUUUCUAAUUGGAAGAAGCAGAAGCACGAUGGCUAUAGUGCUCGCCGGUUCUCUGUCCAGCAGCGACUGUGUGUGUUUAUCAACGAGCUCGUCGCUGGCUUGGUGGGCCGGCGAGUCCCGGUGGUAAUGGCUGGAAACAAGCUGGGUGUUCUGUGUGCUGUCUUGAUUUUAGGGGUGUGGUGAAGAAGAUAAGUUCAGUGGGGUGGGGUUACUCGGAGAAGACGACGCGCAGGGGGGGUUUCUGUAUUGUUCUGCGGCGCUCAGAGCUUUUUCAGUGUAUAUG
rnacentral:lncRNA from 1 species